GAUGAACGCUGGCGGCGUGCCUAAUACAUGCAAGUCGAGUGAACGGACGAGAAGCUUGCUUCUCUGAUGUUAGCGGCGGACGGGUGAGUAACACGUGGAUAACCUACCUAUAAGACUGGGAUAACUUCGGGAAACCGGAGCUAAUACCGGAUGAUAUUUUGAACCGCAUGGUUCAAAAGUGAAAGACGGUCUUGCUGUCACUUAUAGAUGGAUCCGCGCUGCAUUAGCUAGUUGGUAAGGUAACGGCUUACCAAGGCAACGAUGCAUAGCCGACCUGAGAGGGUGAUCGGCCACACUGGAACUGAGACACGGUCCAGACUCCUACGGGAGGCAGCAGUAGGGAAUCUUCCGCAAUGGGCGAAAGCCUGACGGAGCAACGCCGCGUGAGUGAUGAAGGUCUUCGGAUCGUAAAACUCUGUUAUUAGGGAAGAACAUAUGUGUAAGUAACUGCGCACAUCUUGACGGUACCUAAUCAGAAAGCCACGGCUAACUACGUG
rnacentral:rRNA from 1 species